rnacentral:rRNA from 1 species
AGAGUUUGAUCCUGGCUCAGGACGAACGCUGGCGGCGUGCUUAACACAUGCAAGUCGAACGAUGAUGCCCUUCGGGGUGGAUUAGUGGCGAACGGGUGAGUAACACGUGGGCAACCUGCCCUCCACUCUGGGAUAACUCCGGGAAACCGGGGCUAAUACUGGAUAUGACCUUCUGGCGCAUGCUGGUGGGUGGAAAGUUUUUCGGUGGAGGAUGGGCCCGCGGCCUAUCAGCUUGUUGGUGGGGUGAUGGCCUACCAAGGCGGUGACGGGUAGCCGGCCUGAGAGGGCGACCGGCCACACUGGGACUGAGACACGGCCCAGACUCCUGCGGGAGGCAGCAGUGGGGAAUAUUGCACAAUGGGCGGAAGCCUGAUGCAGCGACGCCGCGUGAGGGAUGACGGCCUUCGGGUUGUAAACCUCUUUCAGCAGGGACCAAGCGUGAGUGAGUGUACCUGCAGAAGAAGCACCGGCUAACUACGUGCCAGCAGCCGCGGUAAUAC